rnacentral:rRNA from 1 species
CAGGUACAGAGGGAUGCUACCGGGCGACCGGAUGCGGAUCUCGAAAGCCUGUCCCAGUUCGGACUGGAGUCUGCAACCCGACUCCACGAAGUUGGAUUCGCUAGUAAUCGCGCAUCAGCCAUGGCGCGGUGAAUACGUUCCCGGGCCUUGUACACACCGCCCGUCAAGCCAUGGGAGCCGGGGGCGCCUGAAGUCCGGGACCGCGAGGACCGGCCUAGGGCGAAACUGGUAACUGGGCUAAGUCGUAACAAGGUAUC